UGGAUCCAGACUUUGAUUAUGGCUCAGGAUGAACGCUAGCUACAGGCUUAACACAUGCAAGUCGAGGGGCAGCAUGGUCUUAGCUUGCUAAGACUGAUGGCGACCGGCGCACGGGUGAGUAACACGUAUCCAACCUGCCGUCUACUCUUGGACAGCCUUCUGAAAGGAAGAUUAAUACAAGAUGGCAUCAUGAGUCCGCAUGUUCACAUGAUUAAAGGUAUUCCGGUAGACGAUGGGGAUGCGUUCCAUUAGAUAGUAGGCGGGGUAACGGCCCACCUAGUCUUCGAUGGAUAGGGGUUCUGAGAGGAAGGUCCCCCACAUUGGAACUGAGACACGGUCCAACUCCUACGGGAGGCAGCAGUGAGGAAUAUUGGUCAAUGGGCGAGAGCCUGAACCAGCCAAGUAGCGUGAAGGAUGACUGCCCUAUCGGUUGUAAACUUCUUUUAUAAAGGAAUAAAGUCGGGUAUGCAUACCCGUUUGCAUGUACUUUAUGAAUAAGGAUCGGCUAACUCCGUGCCAGCAGCCGCGGUAAUACGGAGGAUCCGAGCGUUAUCCGGAUUUAUUGGGUUUAAAGGGAGCGUAGAUGGAUGUUUAAGUCAGUUGUGAAAGUUUGCGGCUCAGCCGUAAAAUUGCAGUUGAUACUGGAUAUCUUGAGUGCAGUUGAGGCAGGCGGAAUUCGUGGUGUAGCGGUGAAAUGCUUAGAUAUCACGAAGAACUCCGAUUGCGAAGGCAGCCUGCUAAGCUGCAACUGACAUUGAGGCUCGAAAGUGUGGGUAUCAAACAGGAUUAGAUACCCUGGUAGUCCAUACGGUAAACGAUGAAUACUCGCUGUUUGCGAUAUACUGCAAGCGGCCAAGCGAAAGCGUUAAGUAUUCCACCUGGGGAGUACGCCGGCAACGGUCAACUCAAAGGAAUUGACGGA
rnacentral:rRNA from 1 species